rnacentral:snoRNA from 1 species
AGCAUGGGUGUUUUUGCUUACCUUGUAGACAAAAACUUAUAGACAGGUGCAAAAAAAAAAAUUCCACAUUUCCAACCCAGAACCCAUUGUUCAGUAAUGAAUUUUAAUCCAUGUAAGAAAGAAUAUU